AGAGAGAGAGAGAGAGAGAGAGAUGGGGGGAGUAUGGGGUAGGGUAGAGGAUUUUCGGGAGGGAGGUAUGGGUUUAUGGAGAAAAAGUUAGGGAGAAGUAUGCGGGUAGGCUGUGCCAUUUGGGGGGGGUAGGUUUAAGGGGAACGCAUGUGCCAUUCUUAAAACAAGGGUUGUUUUGUUCUCUUAGCUGCUCUCACAGGCUGCCCAGCUGCCGAGGUCGACUCUUCCAGGCUCCAUGUUUGCCCAUUCUUCUCACGAUUUUUAUUUAUUUUCUGCCAAGAAGAUCCUUCUGGGUCUCUCACAUUUGACUAACUUGUGUGACUUUUUGGUUUUUUGAAUUACUUUAUGUAUUUAUGCAUCUGGUUUUGCAGCUUUUUUCUGUUGUUUUCAAGAAUUCAAUUCACAAAUCUCUCUCUCUCUCUCUCUCUCUCUCUUUUUCUCGCUAGAUAAAUUGCUUUGCUUUUUCCCCCUUUCCCUUUCCAAGUAAUUUGAUUUUGUUUUUCAAUUGUUUUUGUGUUCAUCUGGACUAUAUACCAACUGUGUUUGAUAACUUAAGUGCAAAUGUGGUUGUUGAAGGCACAACUGCAAACUUAGGCUUAUGGGACACUGCUGGUAACUCUCUCCAACCCAAAUUCUAAUUUCAUCUUAUAUAAAUGCGUUCCCCGACCAUUGUUGAGUGAUUUCAGAAUUAGGGUUGGGUUGAGGUCUGUUUGGUUGUCUGGAAAAUGUGGGAAAGAAGAUGGGGGUCAUGGGGUUUCUUGAUUUGUUGUGGAUUUGUGGGAAUUGCAAUUUCUGGUGGAAUUUUUAUGUGUUUUUUCUUAAGGGGAAAAAGUUAUAUACUUUUUUUGGUUUUCUUAGCCACCAAAUGGGAAACAUUUCAUUUUCUUUUAUUUGUGUUUGUAGUGAUGUAAUUCAGUUUCUGUUUAUUGUGAUUUUAAAUCAAAUGCCGUACUAAAUCUAAAUUUACUACAAGAUCUAAUCUGUAUUUUGCAGGAAAUGGUAAAUAGACCAUUUUCGGAAUGACAUGAAAUUAGUUAGAUAUGGCAUAAAAAGAGGGGGUACUUAAAGUCUCAUAUAUCUAUUUCAGUCGAAGAAUGUAUUUUGGUUAGGGAACUUUGAGCUGAUUAGGUGAAGAACCAAAUUGUCUUAUGACAUGCUUCUCAUUUAUUUUAAAAAUGGAUUGGAUCCUAUAAAUAUUUUAGCGAUUGACUAUAGAUAAAGCGGUCGUAUUGCCACUCUAAGAUAAGGCAGUUGUAUUUUUCAAAAUGAAUUAUCUUAUACACAUACAAAACUAUGUGAACUAAAGUAUAAUCUGGGACUUUUACUGUCUUAUCUGUACAUGAUCGAUUCUUCAUUGCUUCAUUGUAGGUGAGAAUGUUAUGCGAGAAAGUAAAGGAAAUUCUAAUGGGAGAAAGCAAUGCUCAGUUCAAAGGUUUUGGGAAAGGAGUGCUUUUUAAUCAGGCCAAUUGGGUCCUCCUGGCAAUACAAUGUCGAAAAAUUUUACAUCCGAGUCCAACAAAUUUGGCAAGAUGCAAAAGAGUUGUGAUUGGGAAGUCAACGAUGCUGAGCGAAGAUUAUGCAGUUGAGUACCAGGAUGAGGAGACUAGGAUUGAGUUUUGGCUCUUAAUAAUCGCUGCUCUGUUGCUUGGAAUUGAAUUUGAAACGUUGGAGAGGGAAGUUGGUUCCUAGGCAUUUUGAGGAAAAAUGAAAAGGGAAUAUGAGACGAUAUUGAAGAAGGCCUUGCAAAGCAUCUGCUUGAUUCAAAAACGACAACCUCGGUUAUUGUUUUGUUGCUUUGUGGGGAAACUAUUCAGCCUGUUGCGACAAAUACAUCAACGCCCACAGCAAAGCGCGGGCACAUUUUCUAGUUUAAUCUAAUAUCUGUUGCACUGAUAUUUAUGUAAUUUACACAAUUUUUCAAUGGGAGCCGAGUCUUUAAGAAGCAUGAUUUUGUUGUAAAUGACAAUUAAUAUCUGUAAAUUUGACAUUUAUAAGCAGAUAGGAUGUUUUUGCUUUCCCCAAUGCCAAAAUAUUUUCCCCCAAUUCGAAGAAGAGGAAGAUUGUUGACAUCAUUUUAUUCCUUGAAAAAGUUGCAUGCUAAGAAGAGGAAGAUUGUUGACAGAAGAGCCUCUAAUAGUCGCAAGAUAAGGUAUCAAUAGAUUCUUCGGUUCCCUAUGUGAAACUGCUGUGAUUUUGUUUUGGAAUAUCUUGGAGCAUCUGUUGAGCAAACUAGACUACAUUGUUCAAGGCUUAUUGCAUUAUGCUUUUGCGUGGAUAAUGUUUAUGAGAAGAUAGUAAAUUUCAUGGCUCCAGAGACCAUGGUCGUUUCUCCUAUGCUUCUUGACGUCAAUAAUUUGUUCGGGUUGAAGAAGCAGAAACCAGCUUCCAUAGUGUAGUAGCGAUGCAAGGUUGAAUCAGCUGUAUAGUCCUUGAAUCUCAGGCUAAGAAAUUGUUUGCUGUUAAUUUAUUUGAUAUAUUAUUCAAUCUAAUAUCUGUUGCACUGAUAUUUAUGUAAGUUACACAAUUUUUCAAUGGGAGCCGAGUCUUUUAGAA